rnacentral:lncRNA from 1 species
UAGAAUGCGGGUUUCCGAGGACAUGACCCUUGAUAGGAAAGUCUGGAGGUCUAGUAUCAUGGCUGUAGGAUAAGGGCUCCUAGAGUUUUUCAUACUCCUCACCCGGGGUUGGGUGAGGCUUGACAGUAGGGGUGUUCAUCGGGCAGAUUGGGUGGCUUUUAUUCUUAACGGUUUGGCUUAACGGUUAUUCGGCUUUUAAAUGUAUUAAUCCGUUAGCCACCCGAUAAGAUAUCGGGCGGAUUGGUAUCGG